UGCUUCCCUGCUCCUCUCUCUCUCUCUCUCCGGCGAUUCCAGAUCUAGGGUUUUUCUCCAUCACGUUUCUACUACUCCAAUUUCUCAUGGAAAUCAUUGGAAUCAAACUCAAGUCUAGGUUUUGAACUUCACGGAGAGUUGAAGAUGAUGCAACCUGUUGUUUUAAUUGGUGGUGGUUAGCAACGAUAGAGAUGGUGGUGGUCUGCGGCUUGUGGUGGUAAUGGUUAGCGUCAACAGAUUCUGGUGACCCAACCUAGGGUUUAGAGUUUCGACCAGAUUCUGGUAGCCC